GGUUUUCGUGUUCAACGUUUGACUGUCUAUCUUAUAUGAAAAUUUUUUUAUUAGUAUUUUUAUUAUUGUUAGAUGAUAAAACAUGAAUAAUACUUUAUGCAUGACUUAUCUUUUUAAUUUUUUUCAUAAUUUUUUUAAAUAAAAUGAACGGUCAAAUGUUAGACACGGAAACU
rnacentral:pre_miRNA from 2 species